AGGGUUCGAUCAUGGCUCAGGAUGAACGCUAGCGGCAGGCUUCAUACAUGCAAGUCGAGGGGCAGCAUAAAUUACUUGUAAUUUGAUGGCGACCGGCGAACGGGUGCGUAACGCGUAUGCAACCUACCUUUUACUAGAGAAUAGCCAAGAGAAAUUUUGAUUAAUGCUCUAUACACUUUAAGACUCACAUGAGUCUAAAAGAAAAGCUCCGGCGGUAAAAGAUGGGCAUGCGUUCUAUUAGCUUGUAGGUGAGGUAACGGCUCACCUAAGCUUCGAUAGAUAGGGGUCCUGAGAGGGAGACCCCCCACACUGGUACUGAGACACGGACCAGACUUCUACGGAAGGCAGCAGUAAGGAAUAUUGGACAAUGGAGGCAACUCUGAUCCAGCCAUGCCGCGUGAAGGAAGAAGGCCCUAUGGGUCGUAAACUUCUUUUAUACAGGAAGAAAUCUUUCCACGUGUGGAAAGUUGACGGUACUGUAAGAAUAAGGAUCGGCUAACUCCGUGCCAGCCGCCGCGGUAAUAC
rnacentral:rRNA from 1 species